GCAUAUCAUGAGCGGAGGAAAAGAAACCAACAGGGAUUGCCUCAGUAACGGCGAAGUGAAGCGGCAACAGCUCAAAUUUGAAAUCUGGCCUCGGCCCGAGUUGUAAUUUGCAGAGGAAGCUUUAGGCGCGGCACCUUCUGAGUCCCCUGGAACGGGGCGCCAUAGAGGGUGAGAGCCCCGUAUAGUUGGAUGCCUAGCCUGUGUAAAGCUCCUUCGACGAGUCGAGUAGUUUGGGAAUGCUGCUCAAAAUGGGAGGUAAAUUUCUUCUAAAGCUAAAUACCGGCCAGAGACCGAUAGCGCACAAGUAGAGUGAUCGAAAGAUGAAAAGCACUUUGAAAAGAGGGUUAAAUAGCACGUGAAAUUGUUGAAAGGGAAGCGCUUGUGACCAGACUUGCGCCGGGCAGAUCAUCCGGUGUUCUCACCGGUGCACUCUGCCCGGCUCAGGCCAGCAUCGGUUCUCGCGGGGGGAUAAAGGCGUCGGGAACGUAGCUCCUCCGGGAGUGUUAUAGCCCGUCGCGUAAUGCCCUCGCGGGGACCGAGGUUCGCGCAUCUGCAAGGAUGCUGGCGUAAUGGUCAUCAGCGACCCGUCUUGAAACACGGACCAAGGAGUCAAGGUUUUGCGCGAGUGUUUGGGUGUAAAACCCGCACGCGUAAUGAAAGUGAACGUAGGUGAGAGCUUCGGCGCAUCAUCGACCGAUCCUGAUGUUUUCGGAUGGAUUUGAGUAGGAGCGUUAAGCCUUGGACCCGAAAGAUGGUGAACUAUGCUUGGAUAGGGUGAAGCCAGAGGAAACUCUGGUGGAGGCUCGCAGCGGUUCUGACGUGCAAAUCGAUCGUCAAAUCUGAGCAUGGGGGGCGAAAGACUAAUCGAACCAUCUAGUAGCUGGUUACCGCCGA
rnacentral:rRNA from 1 species